UGAGGGAAUAUUGGGUCAAUGGGGCGGAAGCCUGAACCAGCCAAGUAGCGUGAGGGAUGACUGCCCUAUGGGUUGUAAACCUCUUUUAUAAGGGAAUAAAAUACGGGACGUGUCCUGUUUUGCAUGUACCUUAUGAAUAAGGACCGGCUAAUUCCGUGCCAGCAGCCGCGGUAAUACGGAAGGUCCGGGCGUUAUCCGGAUUUAUUGGGUUUAAAGGGAGCGCAGGCGGUCUUAUAAGCGUGACGUGAAAUGUAGACGCUCAACGUCUGCACUGCAGCGCGAACUGGUUUCCUUGAGUACGCACAAAGUGGGCGGAAUUCGUGGUGUAGCGGUGAAAUGCUUAGAUAUCACGAAGAACUCCGAUUGCGAAGGCAGCUCACUGGAGCGCAACUGACGCUGAAGCUCGAAAGUGCGGG
rnacentral:rRNA from 1 species